rnacentral:rRNA from 1 species
UACGGGGGGGGCAAGCGUUGUUCGGAAUUACUGGGCGUAAAGAGCGCGCAGGCGGUCGUUCAAGUCGCGUGUGAAAGCCCCCGGCUCAACUGGGGAGGGUCACGCGAUACUGAUCGACUGGAAGGCAGGAGAGGGUAGUGGAAUUCCCGGUGUAGUGGUGAAAUGCGUAGAUAUCGGGAGGAACACCAGUGGCGAAGGCGACUACCUGGCCUGUUCUUGACGCUGAGGCGCGAAAGCUAGGGGAGCAAACGGG